rnacentral:misc_RNA from 1 species
GAAAUGCGAUAAGUAGUGUGAAUUGCAGAAUUCAGUGAAUCAUCGAAUCUUUGAACGCACAUUGCGCCCCUCGGUAUUCCGUGGAGCAUGCCUGUUCGAGCGUCAUCUACACCCUCAAGCUCUGCUUGGUGUUGGGCGUCUGUCCCGCCUCCGCGCGCGGACUCGCCCCAAAUGCAUUGGCAGCGGUUCCUUGCCCCCCUCUUUGCGCAGCACAUUGCCAUUCGAGGCGGCGGCGGCCCGCGUCCAACAAGCUCAACCCCCCCGUCUUUGACCUCGGAUCAGGUAGGGAUACCCGCUGAACUUAAGC